AUUGAACGCUGGCGGCAUGCUUUACACAUGCAAGUCGAACGGCAGCGCGGGCUUCGGCCUGGCGGCGAGUGGCGAACGGGUGAGUAAUACAUCGGAACGUGCCCAGUAGUGGGGGAUAGCUCGGCGAAAGCCGGAUUAAUACCGCAUACGACCUGAGGGUGAAAGCGGGGGAUCUUCGGACCUCGCGCUAUUGGAGCGGCCGAUGGCAGAUUAGCUAGUUGGUGGGGUAAAGGCCUACCAAGGCGACGAUCUGUAGCUGGUCUGAGAGGACGACCAGCCACACUGGGACUGAGACACGGCCCAGACUCCUACGGGAGGCAGCAGUGGGGAAUUUUGGACAAUGGGCGAAAGCCUGAUCCAGCAAUGCCGCGUGUGUGAUGAAGGUCUUCGGGUUGUAAAGCACUUUUGGCGGGAACGAAAAGGACUGUGCCAAUACCACGGUUCGAUGACGGUACCCGCAGAAUAAGCACCGGCUAACUACGUG
rnacentral:rRNA from 1 species